rnacentral:rRNA from 1 species
UGGGGGAAUAUUGGACAAUGGGGGCAACCCUGAUCCAGCAAUGCCGCGUGUGUGAAGAAGGUCUUCGGAUUGUAAAGCACUUUCGACGGGGACGAUGAUGACGGUACCCGUAGAAGAAGCCCCGGCUAACUUCGUGCCAGCAGCCGCGGUAAUACGAAGGGGGCUAGCGUUGCUCGGAAUGACUGGGCGUAAAGGGCGUGUAGGCGGUUUACACAGUCAGAUGUGAAAUCCCCGGGCUUAACCUGGGAGCUGCAUUUGAUACGUGUAGACUAGAGUGUGAGAGAGGGUUGUGGAAUUCCCAGUGUAGAGGUGA